rnacentral:rRNA from 1 species
CACGUAGGGUGCGAGCGUUGUCCGGAAUUAUUGGGCGUAAAGAGCUCGUAGGCGGUGUGUCGCGUCGGCCGUGAAAACCUGCAGCUUAACUGUGGGCUUGCGGUCGAUACGGGCAUCACUGGAGUUCGGCAGGGGAGACUGGAAUUCCUGGUGUAGCGGUGAAAUGCGUAGAUAUCUGGAGGAACACCGGUGGCGAAGGCGGCAUCCUGGACCGGUAUUGACGCUGAUGCGCGAAAGCCAGGGGAGCAAACGGG